GAGGCUGACUUUGUGUAUGUUUACGAGUGUUAGUGUCUGAGUUUCGUCGAGAUGCGGCGGAUCUGCAUGGAGGAAUAGAGUACUGUACGUAUAAUGAGACAUACUCUGAAAGUAUAAAUUCGAUUUUUGCUGGGCGUCAGUUGAACAUUAUUUCACGUGUACGUUUCGCGCACAUAGAAAUCACAUGUUCAGACCGUUAACGUUAAUUUAGCAAGCAGACUGACCAAAGGAACACAUGUUCACCAAAGGGAAGAGUGCAGACUGGCCAAAGCUAGCUCGAAUCAUUUGCUUUUCACUCCACUGUUGUAGCAUUAGAUAGCUAGCAUGCAUGGUUGAUUGUCUAGCAGUCCACAAAGAAAAUAUUUGAAUAUUUCCCUAGGUAGAUAUCUCUGAAAUGGUGCGGUCAAGUUUAGAGCAAAUUCAUCUGGGACCUCAUCUGGCACUGCUUCAAGCGUUUCAUCUGGCACUGCUUCAAGCGUUUCAUCUGGCGCUGCGUCUAGCGUUUCAUCUGGCGCUGCGUCUAGCGUUUCGUCUGGCACUUCAAGGGGUUGAGUAGCCUACAACAUGUUGAUGAAAUACACAACUACUGUCCCAAGCAGGAUUGGUAAAGAGCACCUCCAGGCAGUGGGGUUGGGUGAGAGGCACCAGAACUUUCCAGGUAAUCAAGAAAGUUCACAAGUUCAUUUUAACUUUGUUUCCAAAGUUGAGAGACGAGGGCGGGUUCUGGAAUUUCUGGAACUACACAGAGCCAUCAUCCUAUACCUGUCCCAUGCCCCAAUCGGGGCUACAGUUUGAGAUAUCUGAAAGACCCUUGUGUCGUGCUACUCUACAUUCGCCCACUGUAAAGGAAUUUGCGUAUGUAGCAUGAACUGAAUGAUUCAGUUGUUGCUCAAAGUGGAUCAUUGACACAAUGCCUAAACUGUGAAGAACAACUUUACUUUGCACAAAUAAGAAGGCACAGUGAAGCCUGCUCCAGGUUCAUCAGAGGUCCUGAAGAAUUUGUCAGAGGUCCUGAAGAAUUUGUCAGAGGUGCUGAAGAAUUUGUCAGAGGUGCUGAAGAAUUUGUCAGAGGUGCUGAAGAAUUUGUCAGAGGUGCUGAAGAAUUUGUCAGAGGUGCUGAAGAAUUUGUCAGAGGUGCUGAAGAAUUUGUCAGAGGUGCUGAAGAAUUUGUCAGAGGUGCUGAAGAAUUUGUCAGAGGUGCUGAAGAGUGCUUUUUUUUCUUUCUUUUUUUACCCUGAAGCUGUCAAAAAAUACUAUGACAUAUGAGGAUUUUGAAAAUGAUCUGAUGGCAAGCAUCUCCUCAUCCUACUCUUGGUUUGGUCCGUUUUGAUUCAAAGCCCUGCAGGAAGACACGAUGUUCACAUCAGCUCAAAAGUUUUAUACCGCUUUUUAUUGUUAUUUGAUAUACUUUAGUAAACCGUGAUACAGACACUGAUAAAGUGGCUUACAUUUUACAUUCUAAUGGUAAUGGUUAACCAAAAAAAUCUAAGCUGUACAAUUUGAAAGAUUAGACAGCUAGAAUGAAGGUAGUGACGGCCUAGGAACAGUGGGUUAACUGCCUGUUCAGAGGCAGAACGACAGAUUUGUUGACCUUGUCAGCUCGGGGAUUUGAACUUGCAACCUUUCGGUUACUAUUCCAACACUCUAAUCACUAGGCUACCCUGCCGCCCCAAUUCCCAAUGGCCUUGCAGGCCGAUGCAUUCUAGAUAGAUCCUAUUGGAGGAGGAACCUGAAGCUGAUGGGCCAGUUCAAUGGCCUACCCUCCAUAUAUACUCCCAUUAUCCCUAUUUAAAAGUCCUGUCUUAAAAGGUUUCCUCAAGGAAGUGCCUAGGCAGUCAAGCAGCAGAAGAGAAAUGUGCCUUUUAGAAGCUCCGAGUAGUUGGCUAAUCCAACUUGAUGGCCACAAACGGAGGAAAAUAAUUGCUGGUUGUAAAUAAAAUAAAAAUUGAAAGGAAUUUCUAGGAAAUGGUGAUAUUAAUGCACUGCCUCAUUUCUAUAUUGGAUAAAGGAAUUAAGUACAUGAGGACAAAUAUUGAGUUGGUAUGUGUUCUGGGUCCCUCUCAAAGAAAUCAAUGCUAAUUGUGACUAACAUCUCCUCUUUAUAGAUGGCAAACUAUUUACUUUUGAAGCCAGGUGGGGUUUUCCAACUGUGGGAAACAUGCUGUAUUAGGGAAUAUUGUGUGGUAUAUCAGAAUUCCCAUGCACUUGUUCUAUGCCUGGCUGCACUACAAGGUGAACUGUAAGGCAAGUUACCCUCAAACUGUACAAGAGACUGAAAAAACUGAUGCUUCAUCUGAUGUUUGAAUAUUUUUGAUAUAUCUACAACAUAUCCACUCUAUAUGACUGUAUUUACCCUGAAAUGUGUUUUCCACCACACUGAGGAAGAAGGUGUCUCAACUGGCCAAUCAACGUUAGGGGUGCCCUUGACAAACGAGGCCCAUCGCUCCUCCAGUUUAACUUGACCUUCACAUGCCUGCCGCUUUGCUGGAUCCAUUUUGCGCUCGUUUUCUGCAAUAAAGCGCCUGAUGUAUAUUAACCAACAUUGGUGUUCAUAAGGUCCAGAGUCUGAAAGGCCUGAUAAAGACAAAUACCUCCACUUUUACACCAGGUGAGGGGUUUCUUUAUUGCUGUGAACUGGGUCUGAGAGGAGCAGGACACCAGAGGCAAUGAAGUGAAAACAAAUAGAUUCUGAAAAAAUUCUAAAGUGUACAGGGUUCAGUGCAGGGGCAUCCCAACUGCAUGAGUGCACUCUGGGCUUGUAAAAUUCAACUGAACAGGUCAAAUACUGUUUUGAGUAAUUAACGCAGAGGCCAGGGGAAAUCUGGGUGGCCUAAAUGCUAAAAACCAGCCAGAGUCUUAAAUGUAGCAUGCCCAUGGGUAAGGGGCCAGAUCCAAGCCAAAGCAAUGUUAGGAAUUCAAACGGGCAUCUUUCUGCCUUGUUAUGUCUCACUUCCUUAGAAAAACAUUGGAAUUUGUCAUGUUUCUGCGUAAUUACUGAGUUACCUCAGACAGCCUGUCUGUUGAAUUUAACUAGACGUUUUAGGAAGGACAAGCCCUUCUGAAUAAACAACAAAUUAUGACUGUGUGCACUCCGCAGUUAGGAAGUCUUCUCUGCCUUGUACUGUAAGAUAUGGAAUUUAUAGCUCUAAAGCUGUAUAAAUGUUCAAACAGUGUGGGACAGAGUGAUAAGGCUUUACUCUUAUUUCUCAGCCCUCUGCCUUUUCUUAUAUUGAAAUAUGCUCCAAGGCCUUUGGCACAGUUCAUUAAUACAGUAAGAUCCAGUAUAUCAUGAAUCUAUUAUUUGGGGACGUUGAGAAUAUGUGACUGCAGGUCAUUUACAGUGAACUGUUAAUUCAGCACCCAGUAGACAGUGUUUCCUGUCACACACAGUGAUGAACAUGUGAGCUGUGCCUCAAGACCUCCCCGGUGUUAGAAAUCUGACAGUAGAUGGGCAGUGCAGCCGUUUGACCCCUGAACUUUCCUGAUGAGAGGGCGGUGUUUCAAGGUGAUAAGGGCUUUAGCCCAGGGAAUCCUGACACUGAAUAAACCUGAUGUAGUGUAUUGUAACAGAAGCCAGAUUUGGGGUCGCUCCACUUGCACUUCCACUAACACCUUAUAUCAAACUUCCCUCGGAGUCCAAACAUUUAAGGAAGAAAAUUAUACAGUCUAGUGAAAAGGGAGAGGCCCAUUUACACAUAUUAGUGUGCCCUACCAAGGUGACUGGCUUCAGUUGGUCUUGAUAGGGUUUGUAGCACCUGAUCCUGUUUGAGGCCCCCGCUCACGUUCCAUCCCUUGCACAUCCCUUGAUGUGAUGUCCUCGUUCCGUGGCCUGGCUCAAAUUGAAAUCAUAAGUUGCUCCAGAGGCCGUUGCCUCUGUGUUCUGGGGGUCUGUGGAGAGCAGGCUGUGUCGGCAAGCCUUUCCACACUGUUGCAGUGUUCGCCCCAGAUUAUUACAGCAUAGAUAGCACUGAGGAAUAGAAGGACUACAAUGGUCAUUACGGUGCGUGAUAUGGUGAGGGUGGUAUUUUGAGUUUGCUUGUCUCAGGAGGGGCAUGAUUGAUAGUUAGACAUACAUCACCAGAAAUAAACGUUUUCAUAUAUUCUUUAAACAGUCGUGAAGAAGACAUUCAGCUGAAGUUGAAGUGACACUUUUUGUUCUACUCUUUAGUUGAACUGCUCACUAGUGUAAAGACAGCAGCAUGUCUUAUUAUUGACUGUUUCUCACUGCAGUUUUACUGAGACAGUCAAUGAGGACAGGGCAAACUACAAAUUCAAAUUAAAGAAUAGAAUUGAGCGGUUAUUGAACACCCUUUCUGAAGGCUCCACAAGUAAGCAUCAUUAAUGUUUGUUUACCAUGCUUCCUGGUGUACUUUGGGAUUAAAUCUGAUUUUUAAAGGCAAACUCAAAAUUUGUGAUGACAGUUUAUUUCACAGAACAGCACUAAAGUAAAGCACUUCGGCAAAUGAAUACACCCUAGACAAGUUGUCAGACAAUCGAUGAGGGAUUUUACGUCACAUUCGCUCAUUCUUUUGGGAGGUAAAAUGCUUUGGAACUAAAUCAGCCAUAUACAGGACAUUUUACAGUGUACCAUCUUGACUCACUGUUCAGCUUAUAGUUUCUUAUUACAGUGUUUUGCUUGUUGCAUGAUGAGUUUGAAUGAGUGGAGCUCAAUUGUUCAAAUUGCCAUCAAUUUGUAAAUAACCUUCUUUAGCUAAAGCCAACUCAUUUAAUGUCAGAAAUCACAGCUUGUUUGUAUCAUAAUAGAUGGCACUUGUCUUAUCAGUCAAUUGCAUGUUAUUUGCAGACAAUUGCACCUUGCGAUGGGGACUCCCAGACUCUGACCUGCCCUCAGUGUGAAUGACUCAGUGAGAACAGCCAAAACAGCUCAAACAGCAUUUGCUGUUACAUAGAAACUAUCAGCAUUUGAAAUUCUCUUGGAGAUAGUUUGACCAAUACAAAUACUGAAAUCAAUUCAAUUCUCAGACCCAGGCUUUUAAACAUCUCCAAUUAUAUCUGAUAAUAUGGCAACUGUCUCACUAUAGACAUUUAAGACGCUGGAAAAAGAACCUUGAGCAUCUGGCAAUGUUUGCACUUCCAUGUCAGUCAAUGGCCGUGGAAGCUGAACCUCAGGGACUGUGACUCCUUCAAGAUGGUGACCAUAAGGACCUCCCCCGUCAAGGCUGUAUUCCAUGUCAACCUAAUGUGAGAUCAACAGUAAAAUAUGAGCAUGUCUAUUCUAUGCAAAUAAUAAAGGAAUGGGAAUCACAAUUGAACAAGGUCAUUUGGGAAUACAGUGUUUGUUUGCAGUGUAAAAAAAAUACCACAGGUAGUUGCAAUUUAUCUCUAAUCAUGUUAAAUAAAAUGUGGUAAAAUAA